AAAAGAAAAAAAGAGAAAAAAACUGCAAAUCCAAACUCAAGCACGUUUCUUAUCUGUUCAUUUUUCUUUAUUCAGUAUCCAA
rnacentral:ribozyme from 13 species